rnacentral:lncRNA from 1 species
CAAUUAUUUCUUUCUGAAAAGAUUCUCUUUGAUCCAUUGUAUUGCUUUUGCUCCUUUGUCAUGAUUAGUUGACUAUAUUUGUGUGGGUCUAUUUCUGUCUAUUCUAUUCCAUUGAGCUAUUUAUCUAUUUUCAUACUAAAUCACAUUAUUGUGAUUAAUGUAGCAUUGUGAUAAGUCUUGAAAUCAGAUAGUGUUAGUCCUCUGCCUUUGUUCUUUGCUUUCAAUAUAAAGUCAGCUAUUCUGAGUCUUUUGCCUUUACAUAUGAACUUUAGAAUCAGUUUGUUCAUAUCUAAAAAAUAGUUUUCUGGGAUUUUGACUGAGAUUAUAUUGAGUCAGUAGAUCCAGUUGAGAAGAAUGGUCAUCUUGAUGAUAUUGAAUCUUCCUAUCUAUGAACACGGUAUAUAUCUCUUCAUUUAUUUAGUUCUUUGAUUACUUUCAUCAGAAGUUUCUAGUUUUCCUCUUAUGAAUCUUGUGUAUAUUUCAUUAGAGUUAUACUUAAGAAUUUAUUUAAUAUUUUAAUGCUAAUGUAAAUAGUAUUGUGUUUUAAUUUCAAAUUUCAGUGGUUAAUUGGUGGUAUAUGAGAAAGCAAUUCAAUUUUGUUUAGUUUUACUGCCUGACUCUUGCACCCCCCAAAAAAACCCUAAAAUUUAAACUAAUAUUAACAUAUUAAAUUAAUCUUUGCUUCCAUAUGGUUCCCAAUUGUUCUUUUUCAUAUGUGAUUAGAAAACAAACAGCCCCCCAUAAUAAAUUUAUAAUGCUGCUUUUGAUCACAAGCUCAUAUUUUUAUUCUCAUAUUUAACUUUAUUCUGUCAUGUAUGUCAAAUACAGCAUGAAGUGUUUGCAACCACACUGUAAGUUUCAUUUGUGUAUUCCAUUGGAAAUAAAACACUAGUUCUGACUUUUUUUUAGCAAUUGUAGGGCUAUAAUUUAUUUUGUAAUAUUAAUAAGUUUUUUAAGUGCCCAUUUAAAAAAAAAAAAAACCUGGAAAACAAUGAAGCGUUUCCCCAGAAUCCUACAGCACUUAUCAUAUUUUGGAACAUAGGCUUUUGUGGUUUUUUGAUAUGUGGGAAAUGCAUCAGGGUUAGUGAGGGCCAUUCUAGAUAACAUUUCUUCCUAGUAAUGAUCAAGGGUUGGGAACAUAUAAGAGAAUGUUGAUAUAGACAUAAUUACGGUAAUGAUAGUAUUGAUAGAAAGUUUCUGUUACUUUAUUUCUUUUCUCUCUGUUUAAAACCACUGCUUUUAUUGUUUUGUUGUUGUUGUUGUGCUUUUAAUGUUUUAUUGAAGUAUAGUUGAUUUACAAUGUUGUGAUAAUUUCUGCUGUAAAACAAAGUGAUUUAGUUUCAUACACACACACACACACACACACACACACACACACACACACACACACACAUCCAUUCUUUUUUCAGAUUCCUUUCCCAUAUAGAUUAUCACAGAAUAUUGUAGUAGGGUUCUUUGUGCUAUAUAGCCAUUUCCCAUUGUUUUUAUUGUUUCUUUUUCUUGACUUUUCACUUAUGGUUGUACUAUCCAUAUUACCAAAUCUAAUGUAUAUUUUUUUUAAAUUUUUGAAAAAUUAAAAUGUAGCUCAUAUACUAUAAAAUUUCACCCAUUUAAAGGAUAAAAUUUUUUGGCUUUAUUAUGUUCAGAAGAUUGUGCAGACUUUACAGUGAUAUAAUUCUAGAAUCCUUUCAUCACCCCAGAGAUUCUACAGUGUAGUCCUAGCAGUCAUUCCUGGAGAUCCAGCCUAUGAUAUUCCAGUGAUUUUAUAACUAUCUGUUCCUCUGGCUGUCUAAUAGUCAGUCAAUGAAGAACGUGUUGAUGCUGGAUAUUCUUCUUUUGGUUUUCUUUUUUGAGCCAAAUGUCCCUAUUUGCUUCAGCUGACCACACUACUACAAGACCUCUCACCAUUCUACAUAUUUGUCUUUAUAGGCUUUUUGAUGUGGCAGUGUCCUUGUCAAAAUGGAAUGUCUGAAGUAAGACAUGUGGUUUGAGAGGUAUAUAUGGGAUAAUUGCCACUUUCUUUAAUUUAUUAUUAUAAAUCAUAAAUAUCAUAGCUGAUAUUCUUGAUCCUAAGGCCUUGACUGAUACAUCAAAAUCCUGUAAUCUGUCAAUAUUACCAAUACUCCCACAACAUCUGUAGUUUCCUGCUUCUAAUGGCUAAUAACAAUUUAAAAAAAAAAUUGGGUCUGGGAGAGGAAAAGGAAUAAAUAUGGGGAGAUGGGGAAUUGGCACACAUGAUGAACACAAACAAUGUAUAUCCAACCUAACCAUAAAACAUCAGUUAAUUCCGUGUAGUUGGCACUCCUGAAUUUGCUAAU